UACGUAGGGGGCAAGCGUUGUCCGGAAUCAUUGGGCGUAAAGAGCGUGUAGGCGGCCAGAUAAGUCCGCUGUGAAAUCUCGAGGCUCAACUUCGAGCUGUCGGUGGAAACUGUCUGGCUAGAGUCCGGAAGAGGAGAAUGGAAUUCCUGGUGUAGCGGUGAAAUGCGCAGAUAUCUGGAGGAACACCGGUGGCGAAGGCGGCGUCCUGGACCAACACUGACGCUGAGGAGCGAAAGCCAGGGGAGCAAACGGG
rnacentral:rRNA from 1 species